GGUCAGUUGUUAAUAUUAUGGCAAUUUCUUUACAGUGUGUUAUUUGAAAACAAAAACAAGACAAGCUUUGUUUGCAUCCUGCUUGUAACCUUCAUAACUUUUUUUGUUCAAAUUAUAGAGCUGAUAUAUAUCCUACUGGGUUAACUAAAACAUAAUUUCUCAACUGAUUUUUAAGUACAUGUAUCAAUGCUUCAGGGAUCUCAUUAACACAAAACAAUGCAUAUUAAGUAAUUUUUCAUUUUACCUAGAUAAUGAGUCGGAGACACAUGUACCCCCACAUCU
rnacentral:misc_RNA from 1 species